CUAGAGUUUGAUCCUGGCUCAGGAUGAACGCUGGCGGCGUGCCUAACACAUGCAAGUCGAGCGAAGCGCUUAAAUCAGAUUUCUUCGGAAUGACGAUUUUUGUGACUGAGCGGCGGACGGGUGAGUAACGCGUGGGUAACCUGCCUCAUACAGGGGGAUAACAGUUAGAAAUGACUGCUAAUACCGCAUAAGACCCCAGCUUCGCAUGAAGCGGUGGUAAAAACUCCGGUGGUAUGAGAUGGACCCGCGUCUGAUUAGCUAGUUGGUAAGGUAACGGCUUACCAAGGCGACGAUCAGUAGCCGACCUGAGAGGGUGACCGGCCACAUUGGGACUGAGACACGGCCCAGACUCCUACGGGAGGCAGCAGUGGGGAAUAUUGCACAAUGGGGGAAACCCUGAUGCAGCGACGCCGCGUGAAGGAUGAAGUAUUUCGGUAUGUAAACUUCUAUCAGCAGGGAAGAAAGUGACGGUACCUGACUAAGAAGCCCCGGCUAACUACGUGCC
rnacentral:rRNA from 1 species